GGGGCUGAUUCUGGAUUCGACGGGAUUUGCGAAACCCAAGGUGCAUGCCGAGGGGCGGUUGGCCUCGUAAAAAGCCGCAAAAAAUAGUCGCAAACGACGAAAACUACGCUUUAGCAGCUUAAUAACCUGCUUAGAGCCCUCUCUCCCUAGCCUCCGCUCUUAGGACGGGGAUCAAGAGAGGUCAAACCCAAAAGAGAUCGCGUGGAAGCCCUGCCUGGGGUUGAAGCGUUAAAACUUAAUCAGGCUAGUUUGUUAGUGGCGUGUCCGUCCGCAGCUGGCAAGCGAAUGUAAAGACUGACUAAGCAUGUAGUACCGAGGACGUAGGAAUUUCGGACGCGGGUUCAACUCCCGCCAGCCCACCA
rnacentral:tmRNA from 1 species